UACAGAGGUCUCAACCGUUGUUCGGAUUCAUUGGGCGUAAAGGGUGCGUAGGCGGUCGCGCAAGUCGGAUGUGAAAUCUUGGGCUCAACCCGAAACUGCAUUCGAUACUGCGUGGCUCGAGUACUGGAGAGGAGACGUGGAAUUUACGGUGUAGCAGUGAAAUGCGUAGAUAUCGUAAGGAAGACCAGUGGCGAAGGCGAGUCUCUGGACAGUACUGACGCUGAGCACGAAGGCCAGGGAGCAAACGGG
rnacentral:rRNA from 1 species